UACGUAGGGGGCAAGCGUUGUUCGGAAUCACUGGGCGUAAAGCGCACGUAGGCGGCUCUUUAAGUCAGAGGUGAAAUCCCAAGGCUCAACCGUGGAACUGCCUUUGAUACUGGGGAGCUUGAGUCCGGGAGAGGUGAGUGGAACUGCGAGUGUAGAGGUGAAAUUCGUAGAUAUUCGCAAGAACACCAGUGGCGAAGGCGGCUCACUGGCCCGGUACUGACGCUGAGGCACGAAAGCUGGGGGAGCAAACAGG
rnacentral:rRNA from 1 species